CAUGGGGGGUGCUACCAUGCAAGUCGAACGAGAAAUUUCCGCCUCGGCGGAGAGAGUAAAGUGGCGCACGGGUGAGUAACGCGUGGGUAACCUGCCUUUGAAUCUAGGAUAACCCCGUGAAAACGGGACUAAUACUGGAUAAUGUCCCUUUGGCUGUGGCCUUAGGGAUGAAAGGUGACCUCUUCAUGAAAGUUGCCGUUCAAAGAGGGGCCCGCGUACCAUUAGCUUGUUGGUGGGGUAAUGGCCUACCAAGGCUACGAUGGUUAGCUGGUCUGAGAGGAUGAUCAGCCACACUGGAACUGGAACACGGUCCAGACUCCUACGGGAGGCAGCAGUGAGGAAUUUUGCGCAAUGGGGGAAACCCUGACGCAGCAACGCCGCGUGAGUGAUGAAGAUUUUCGGAUCGUAAAGCUCUGUCAAGUGGGAAAAAAUUCUUUCGGUUAAUAGCCGGAAGAACUGAUGGUACCGCUGGAGGAAGCACCGGCUAACUCCGUGCCAGCAGCCGCGGUAAUACGGAGGGUGCAAGCGUUGUUCGGAUUUACUGGGCGUAAAGAGCGUGUAGGUGGUUUAGCAAGUCAGAUGUGAAAGCCCUGGGCUCAACUCAGGAAGUGCAUUUGAAACUGCUAUUCUAGAGUAUGGGAGAGGAGAGUGGAAUUCCCAGUGUAGAGGUGAAAUUCGUAGAUAUUGGGAGGAACACCGGUGGCGAACGCGACUCUCUGGACCAAUACUGACACUGAGACGCGAAAGCGUGGGGAGCAAACAGGAUUAGAUACCCUGGUAGUCCACGCCGUAACGAUGAGACUAGUGUAGCGGGUAUUGA
rnacentral:rRNA from 2 species